rnacentral:misc_RNA from 1 species
GAUGAAGAACGCAGUGAAAUGCGAUAAGUAAUGCGAAUUGCAGAAUCCGUGAGUCAUCGAAUCUUUGAACGCACAUUGCGCCCUCUGGUAUUCCGGAGGGCAUGCCUGUUCGAGCGUCAUUAUCACCCCUCAAGCCCGGCUUGUUGUUGGAUGCAGCGCUUAUCCCGCUCCUCCCAAAGAUAAUGACGGCGUCUGCGACGACUCCUGUACACUGAGCUUUCGGGCACGUACACGGCUAGAAGUCCAGACCCGGUCGCCGUCCCCCCCCGCGGGGGACACCCAUUACCACAAGGUUGACCUCGGAUCAGGUAGGAAUACCCGCUGAACUUAAGCAUAUCAAUAAGCGGAGGA